rnacentral:rRNA from 1 species
AUGUAACGGCGAGUGAAGCGGCAACAGCUCAAAUUUGAAAUCUGGCACCCAGUGUCCGAGUUGUAAUUUGUAGAGGAUGAUUUUGGCGCGGCGCCUUCCGAGUUCCCUGGAACGGGACGCCAUAGAGGGUGAGAGCCCCGUCUGGUUGGAUGCCUAGCCUCUGUAAAUCUCCUUCGACGAGUCGAGUAGUUUGGGAAUGCUGCUCUAAAUGGGAGGUAUAUGUCUUCUAAAGCUAAAUAUUGGCCAGAGACCGAUAGCGCACAAGUAGAGUGAUCGAAAGAUGAAAAGCACUUUGAAAAGAGGGUUAAAUAGUACGUGAAAUUGUUGAAAGGGAAGCAUUUGUGACCAGACUUGGGCCCGGUUAAUCAUCCAGCGUUCUCGCUGGUGCACUUUGCCGGCCCAGGCCAGCAUCAGUUCGCCCUGGGGGAUAAAGGUUUCGGGAACGUGGCUCCCUCGGGAGUGUUAUAGCCCGUUGCGUAAUACCCUGCGGCGGACUGAGGUUCGCGCUUCCGCAUGGAUGCUGGCGUAAUGGUCAUCAGUGACCCGUCUUGAAACACGGACCAAGGAGUCGUCUUCGUAUGCGAGUGUUCGGGUGUCAAACCCCUACGCGUAAUGAAAGUGAACGCAGGUGAGAGCUUCGGCGCAUCAUCGACCGAUCCUGAUGUUCUCGGACGGAUUUGAGUAAGAGCAUACGGGGCCGGACCCGAAAGAAGGUGAACUAUGCCUGUAUAGGGUGAAGCCAGAGGAAACUCUGGUGGAGGCUCGCAGCGGUUCUGACGUGCAAAUCGAUCGUCAAAUAUG